rnacentral:rRNA from 1 species
GCGGCUUGCUAGACAGUAACUGACGCUCAGUCACGAAAGCGUGGGGAGCAAAUAGGCUUAGAUACCCUAGUAGUCCACGCCGUAAACGUUGAGGACCAGGUGUCGGGGGCAUACCUCGGCGCCACAGCUAACGCAUUGAGUCCUCCGCCUGGGUACUACGUUCGCAAGAAUAAAACUUAAAGGAAUUGACGGGGGCCCGCACAAGCAGUGGAGCAUGUGGUUUAAUUCGUGGCUACGCGGAAAACCUUACCUGGGUUUGACAUCUUCUCAAAGGCCCUAGAGAUAGGGAGAUAGUUAUGGGAAUGAACGGUGGUGCAUGGCUGUCGUCAGCUCGUGUCGUGAGAUGUUGGGUUAAGUCCCGCAACGAGCGCAACCCCCGUCUUCAGUUGCCAUCAUUCAGUUGGGCACUCUGGAGAGACUGCCGACGCAAGUCGGAGGAAGAUGGGGAUGACGUCAAGUCAUCACGCCCCUUAUGCCCAGGGCGACACACGUGCUACAAUGGUCGGUACAACGCGUUGCGACACCGCGAGGUGAAGCGGAUCGCUCAAAGCCGACCCCAGUUCGGAUCGGAGUCUGCAAUUCGACUCCGUGAAGCCGGAAU